rnacentral:rRNA from 1 species
GAGGCCUAUUGGUUGUAAACCUCUUUUCUCUAGGAAGAUAAUGACGGUACUAGAGGAAUCAGCAUCGGCUAACUCCGUGCCAGCAGCCGCGGUAAGACGGAGGAUGCAAGCGUUAUCCGGAAUGAUUGGGCGUAAAGCGUCCGUAGGUGGUUAGAUAAGUUUGCUGUCAAAGAGUGGAGCUUAACUCCAUAAAGGCAGUGGAUACUGUUUGACUAGAGUGCGGUAGGGGUAGAGGGAAUUCCAGGUGUAGCGGUGAAAUGCGUAGAUAUCUGGAAGAACACCAGUGGCGAAAGCGCUCUACUGGACCUGACACUGACACUGAGGGACGAAAGCUAGGGGAGCGAAUGGGAU